AUAUUUAAAAAAAAGAAUUAGCGAAAUCGGUCCAACCGUUCUCGAGUUUUGCGCUUAGCAACACAUUCAGCGACUCAUUUUUAUAUUAUACACUCGCGUGCAACUGAAUCGACUCAAGCCGUAUAUUGGUAUAUAAGUUUGAUUUUUCGGAAAAUGGCUUAUCCGAUUUUUGUAAAAGAUUUUUUUAUUCCAAAGACACAUAUUUUUUUCAUAAAUAUAGCCAUUUUCAAAUAAACAAUGAAAAAACUUUUUAAAUAAAUACGGUCAAACAUGAGCGUUACAGAAAUUACCCGUUGCGGUACCCAUGAGUUGCGAGACUAAAUCAUGUAUAAGAGCUCACGUGACCCAUAUUUCUUAUCAAUCACUCGUCAGACGUUGACAGGUACACA
rnacentral:misc_RNA from 1 species